rnacentral:rRNA from 1 species
GACGAACGCUGGCGGCGUGCUUAACACAUGCAAGUCGAACGAAGUGGCGAACGGGUGAGUAACGCGUAAUCAACCUGCCCUUCAGCGGGGGACAACAGUUGGAAACGACUGCUAAUACCGCAUACUGAAGGAGGGGAUUGCGUCUGAUUAGCUCGUUGGAGGGGUAACGGCCCACCAGGGCGAUGAUCAGUAGCCGGGCUGAGAGGAUGAACGGCCACAUUGGGAAUGGGACACGGCCCAGACUCCUACGGGAGGCAGCAGUGGGGAAUUUUCCGAAAUGGAGGAAAGUCUGACUGAGGAACGCCGCGGGAGUGAUGACGGCCUUCGGGUUGGAAAGCUCUGUUAAUCGGGACGCGGUACCGGAAUAGAAAGCCACGGCUAACUACGUGCCAGCAGCCGCGGUAAUUC